CCAAUUUAGUACUGAGGGAUCUUGUAUUUGCAAGAUCCAUUCCAUCACUUUCACUUGCCCAGAAAAUGGUUCUUCCUUUCGCAACAAAACAAAAAUAUUCUCAACAAAAUUUUUGUCCAAGUCAUUUAAGCCAGGUAAUAUAUCAUCCUGUGUCAAGCAAGAUGGUGUUUCUUCAACGUUGGAAGGACUAACAGAGUUUACGGGACCCUUAUUGGGACCAACAAAGUUUAAGGGAUCAGGAUCAGGUUGGACAGAGUUUAAUGGAACCAGAUCAAUAGGCAUCAUAGGAUCAGAGCUUGCUGGGACCCCAUCUUGUGGUUCUUCACAUGCAUUUGUUCUGGCAGCUUUCUCCCUUGACAAACGAACUAGUUUCAUCACUCCUGAAUGUUGGCUAGCAAAAAAUUCUCUAACCUAGAGUUGACAUAACACCAUAAUAUAAGCAAAUAAUUAAUACAGAUACAUAAAGUACUAAAUCAAGGUCCAUAAGAGGACACACUGAAACAAAAGAGGGGGUGGGGAAAAGGUGAAUAAUACAACAGCAGUUAGAAUAACUUUAACAAGGUAUGCACAUAAAUCCAUGCAGGGCUACGAAAGGGAAAGGGCAAAAAGUUUGUUGCAUAUAUUUUGAGACCAUAGCAGACUAAGCAUAAAGAAGAAGAAAUAGAAGAAAAAGAAAAGGUAACUUAAGUUUGUAAGUAAAUGCACAAGGAAAAACACCUGUGUGACUGUUACACCAAAUUGAGCACUUAGCUCAUGAGAUUCCUUCUUGCUGAUUGCAUUUUUUAUGGAGAAAACUGCUUGCAUAUACUUAAUAGCCUUAGGAUUUACCAAAUCUCUAGGUCUUUUUCCUGCCAACUCAAUAAUCAAGUAAGAUAAUGCCCAAAAGCAGCAGAAUUUAUAAACUUCUGACAAGAAUUCUUCAGUGUACAGAAACAAAUAGACAAAGGAAAGUAAAUGCAUUGGCAGGGCAAAAAGGAGUUCAUUAAGGUUCACUUAGCUUGUCCAGAGGAAAAAGUGACCCUCAAUUAGCAACUAAAAUAAGCAACCAUAGGAUCUGAAGCCAAUUUAACCCUCUAUGUAACCUAAAGCCAAUUUGAUUUUACAUUUUAGCACUCCAUUCGAAUGUAAUAAUAUGGAAAUAUCAUGACUAAUGAUACCAACAUGUGGCUGAGCCAACUUGUUAAUGGUGAUUAACUUCAAUUCAAAAUAGCAAAAAACUAAGGCUUAUUUGGUUCAUGGAAUUGCAAGGAAUAGGAUGGGAAUAGAAUAGCCAACAAACGCUGAACAGUUAUUCACCUAUUCCUAACUUUGGUUCAAAUUUUAAUAUGUGAUACUAUUCCAUGGAAUAACUAUUUUACAAUUUUAAUUUUCUAUUACACUUUAAAAUAUUAAUUAUUAUAUAAAAUAAAUAUUAUUUAAAUUAGUGUGAUAUAAAUUCAACAAAUAAGUAAAUAAUAGUUAUUCCAUUACCAUGAAUAAAAAUUAUUUCUAACAAGUCCCAAGAUCCAUAUACAUAAACUAUAUGUAUAAGUUAUUAUUGACAGAGUUAAGAAUACUUAUUUGCAUAAAAGGGAAAGUGUUUAAGAUUCCUUCAAAAUUGGUAGCAAUAAAAAAAUAGGCUAUAAAUUAAAGGAAAAAUGAUCACCAUGCAUAACCAUCUGAAAUAGUUCAAAAGCCACAACUUACGGAUUUUUAUUGACAUAGCACCAGCCGCCAUCUCUUGAGAGAGAGGAUUGACGCCGGUGAGCCUGCAUUAACUGACGACGAUGCGUUGAAGUUGAUCGAUCUAACUGUGAAAAUGCUCCUUCUGCGAAUCCAAAAACUUGCGAAACGACUCGACAGAGCUCCCAAUAUUUAUUUCUUCUAAAUUCUCCUUCAACGCCUCCAUCGUCGAAGUAGAAGAUUGGAGUCUUGAAGGUGGAUGUGCCAGAACAACGGAUUACAGUACGGUAUAAAGAGCUGAGAGUU
rnacentral:misc_RNA from 1 species